rnacentral:rRNA from 1 species
GGUUAAGUUAGAAAGGGCGCACGGUGAAUGCCUUGGCACUAGGAGCCGAUGAAGGACGGGACUAACACCGAUAUGCUUCGGGGAGCUGUAAGUGAGCUUUGAUCCGGAGAUUUCCGAAUGGGGAAACCCACUGUUCGUAAUGGAACAGUAUCUUUAUCUGAAUACAUAGGAUAUUGAAGGCAGACCCGGGGAACUGAAACAUCUAAGUACCCGGAGGAAGAGAAAGCAAAUGCGAUUUCCUGAGUAGCGGCGAGCGAAACGGAAUUAGCCCAAACCAAGAGGCUUGCCUCUUGGGGUUGUAGGACACUCUAUACGGAGUUACAAAGGAACGAAGUAAAUGAAGCGACCUGGAAAGGUCCGUCGAAGAAGGUAACAACCCUGUAGUUGAAACUUCGUUCCCUCUUGAGUGGAUCCUGAGUACGGCGGAACACGUGAAAUUCCGUCGGAAGCUGGGAGGACCAUCUCCCAAGGCUAAAUACUACCUAGUGACCGAUAGUGAACCAGUACCGUGAGGGAAAGGUGAAAAGCACCCCGGAAGGGGAGUGAAAGAGAUCCUGAAACCGUGUGCCUACAAGUAGUCAGAGCCCGUUAAUGGGUGAUGGCGUGCCUUUUGUAGAAUGAACCGGCGAGUUACGAUCCCAUGCAAGGUUAAGCUGAUAAGGCGGAGCCGUAGCGAAAGCGAGUCUGAAUAGGGCGUUUAGUAUGUGGUUGUAGACCCGAAACCAGGUGAUCUACCCAUGUCCAGGGUGAAGUUCAGGUAACACUGAAUGGAGGCCCGAACCCACGCACGUUGAAAAGUGCGGGGAUGAGGUGUGGGUAGCGGAGAAAUUCCAAUCGAACCUGGAGAUAGCUGGUUCUCUCCGAAAUAGCUUUAGGGCUAGCCUCAUGUUGUGAGAGUCUUGGAGGUAGAGCACUGAUUGGACUAGGGGCCCCCAACGGGUUACCGAAUUCAGUCAAACUCCGAAUGCCAAAGACUUAUCCAUGGGAGUCAGACUGCGAGUGAUAAGAUCCGUAGUCAAAAGGGAAACAGCCCAGACCACCAGCUAAGGUCCCCAAGUAUACGUUAAGUGGAAAAGGAUGUGGAGUUGCUUAGACAACCAGGAUGUUGGCUUAGAAGCAGCCACCAUUUAAAGAGUGCGUAAUAGCUCACUGGUCGAGUGACUCUGCGCCGAAAAUGUACCGGGGCUAAACGUAUCACCGAAGCUGUGGAUUGACAUCUUAGAUGUCAGUGGUAGGAGAGCGUUCUAAGUGCAGCGAAGUCAGACCGUAAGGACUGGUGGAGCGCUUAGAAGUGAGAAUGCCGGUAUGAGUAGCGAAAGACAAGUGAGAAUCUUGUCCACCGAAUGCCUAAGGUUUCCUGAGGAAGGCUCGUCCGCUCAGGGUUAGUCGGGACCUAAGCCGAGGCUGAAAAGCGUAGGCGAUGGCCAACAGGUUGAUAUUCCUGUACCACCUCCCCGCCGUUUGAGUAAUGGGGGGACGCAGUAGGAUAGGGUAAGCGCGCUGCUGGAUAUGCGCGUUCAAGCAGUUAGGCUGAUGAGUAGGCAAAUCCGCUCAUCAUAAAGGCUGAGCUGUGAUGACGAGGGAAUUAUAGUACCGAAGUUCCUGAUUCCACACUGCCAAGAAAAGCCUCUAGCGAGGCGGGAGGUGCCCGUACCGCAAACCGACACAGGUAGGCGAGGAGAGAAUCCUAAGGUGAUCGAGAGAACUCUCGUUAAGGAACUCGGCAAAAUGACCCCGUAACUUCGGGAGAAGGGGUGCUCUGGUAGGGUGUAUAGCCCGAGAGAGCCGCAGUGAAUAGGCCCAGGCGACUGUUUAGCAAAAACACAGGUCUCUGCGAAGCCGCAAGGCGAAGUAUAGGGGCUGACGCCUGCCCGGUGCUGGAAGGUUAAGAGGAGGGGUUAUCCUUUGGGAGAAGCUCUGAAUCGAAGCCCCAGUAAACGGCGGCCGUAACUAUAACGGUCCUAAGGUAGCGAAAUUCCUUGUCGGGUAAGUUCCGACCCGCACGAAAGGCGUAACGAUCUGGGCACUGUCUCAACGAGAGACUCGGUGAAAUUAUAGUACCUGUGAAGAUGCAGGUUACCCGCGACAGGACGGAAAGACCCCGUGGAGCUUUACUGUAGCCUGAUAUUGAAUUUUGGUACAGCUUGUACAGGAUAGGUAGGAGCCUGAGAAGCCGGAGCGCUAGCUUCGGUGGAGGCGUCGGUGGGAUACUACCCUGGCUGUAUUGAAAUUCUAACCCGCGGCCCUGAUCGGGCCGGGAGACAGUGUCAGGUGGGCAGUUUGACUGGGGCGGUCGCCUCCUAAAAUGUAACGGAGGCGCCCAAAGGUUCCCUCAGAAUGGUUGGAAAUCAUUCGUAGAGUGUAAAGGCACAAGGGAGCUUGACUGCGAGACCUACAAGUCGAGCAGGGACGAAAGUCGGGCUUAGUGAUCCGGUGGUUCCGCAUGGAAGGGCCAUCGCUCAACGGAUAAAAGCUACCCCGGGGAUAACAGGCUUAUCUCCCCCAAGAGUCCACAUCGACGGGGAGGUUUGGCACCUCGAUGUCGGCUCAUCGCAUCCUGGGGCUGUAGUCGGUCCCAAGGGUUGGGCUGUUCGCCCAUUAAAGCGGUACGCGAGCUGGGUUCAGAACGUCGUGAGACAGUUCGGUCCCUAUCCGUCGUGGGCGUAGGAAAUUUGAGAGGAGCUGUCCUUAGUACGAGAGGACCGGGAUGGACACACCGCUGGUGUACCAGUUGUCUUGCCAAAGGCAUCGCUGGGUAGCUAUGUGUGGACGGGAUAAGUGCUGAAAGCAUCUAAGCAUGAAGCCCCCCUCAAGAUGAGAUUUCCCAUAGCGCAAGCUAGUAAGAUCCCUGAAAGAUGAUCAGGUUGAUAGGUCAGAGGUGGAAGCGUGGCGACAUGUGUAGCUGACUGAUACUAAUCGAUCGAGGACUUAACCAA